rnacentral:lncRNA from 1 species
GCUGAAGGAGCAGGUGAGGUUGGGGGUGGGGACUGGGCAGAAGGCCCGCACGCUGGACACGAGGUCACCGGGAGAGAGAGCGGUGGGCAGGCCGAGAGCAGGGGUCUUGGUGCCCAGGCCGGGCUGUUCCCCAGGGCCCCAAAGGCAGGCGGCUGGGAGUUGACUCUGGGCUCGGGGGAGGGGCCGGACUGAGAAGAGGAAAGUGCUGUGGACGGUCAGCCCGCCAGUGGGCUUUGUGCUCAUGCGCCUCCUCCUUCCUCAGCAAUAGACCCCUGAUGUUUGGCAGACACAGGACACCCCUACUUCCCACCUCCCUCGAAACCAGUGUGCAUUACAGUUUGGUCCUGUAGUGCAGCCUUAGGGGCGUAGCCUCAGAGGGAGAGCAAGCCCUUCUUUGGUCCUUCCUUUCGUCUGCUGGUGGAAAAGUGGCUACAAAGACUGGAGCUUGAGCAGCCAUUUUGUGCCAUGAGGAGGAAACUUCUGUCCUGGGAUGAAGGACCCGGGGUCCCCUUCUGUGGGCAGCUGCUCAGUCCUGGGUGGCCUCUGAGAGAGAAGUAGGCAUCUCUCUUUGGAACCCUCAGCUGCUUUGUGUUCCCUGGGGCACCCUCGGUCCGUGUCCUCGCGGGGGCACUAGCUGUGUCUGUCCACGAAGGUUAGGAUGCAGGCGCAGACCACAGGGCAGUGGGAGGGAGGGACAGAUGUCUGACCCAUUUUCUGACAAGGGUGCAAGUUUUCUUCGAUAGCAUUUCACCCCGGCCGUUGAUGAGCUGUAGACACCCACACGCAUACACAUCUGACAAGGAAGUUGGGCCGGGAUGUCGUUUUGAAACCUGAUCCUCGCUCUUCCUCGGGCUCCAGUGCCGUGCACCACGUGAAGGUGUGGGUCCAAGGCCCUGCCAUUAGCAGCUGGUAGCCUCACACAAGGGUCUCGGACGUGCCUUUGUUUAUCCAGCCAGACCUCCGGCCCCGUGCAUGCAGCGGUGAUGACAUGUUUAUUCCCACCAAGGACGUGGCUCGCAAACCGUGUGGUAAGAGGCUUGUGGAGCCCCGGAGCAUUAAGUACUAAAACGCAUGUUUCGGGUUCUACAGCAGCCUUCAAUAUCAAGAGUGGGAAACAGAGGUAUUUUUCCCUGGGUGGAAUUUCAUUUCGCAAAGACAGUUCAGGUCAGACCCAGCCGGCUCUUUGCUGUUUUUCCCUGAGAAUCAAGUUGGAAGUUGUGGGGUGCCACUGGUUCCCCCUGAAAUUCUCCUCCCCCUCCAAACGCCCUGCACCCCAGGGGUGCCUGGAGGGAAGGCCCAGCGUCAGCCCGGCCAGGGGCCGCUGACCCCAGGAAGCAUCCUGUCAAAGUUUUCCCUGCCGGCGCCUCGCCCACCCCCGUGACUUCCAGAAGCUCCAAUGCCCACCAGAGCAGGGCGUCCCUAGUGCGUGUCCCUGGCCCGCAGAGCAGCUGGUCUUGCUUUGCUCUUCUCCUGUGCUCCUGACCUUGAUUCCCGGCCUGAGGACACGGCCGUCCUUAAGGGUUUGCUGGAGCUCGCGAAACUGGAUGUUUUCUUUUCUUGUUUGGAAGGCGGCGUGUGUGUGCAUUUGUGUGGGUACGUAUGUGUGCGUAAAUGUUCCCGUGUGUCUGAGUGUGUGAGUGUGUAUGAUGUAUGUGUGUGUUCGUGUGUGUGUGCACACGUGUAUGACUGUGUGUCUGGGGGGGUGUGCCCGUGUAUGAUGUGUUGGGGGGGUGUCCGGGGGGGUGUGCACACAGUUGUGCCUCUCGUGACAACACUCUCGUCUGUGGCCACUGGCUCCUCCUGACUCAAUAUGGUCGUUUAUAUUCUCAUAGAAAAGCGUUCGUGUCUCUGCAGUGGCGACAUGCAAGAAAUUGAACCGAGUAGUUUUGUGGUGGUUUUCCAUGUCCUCGGCAUCUGGAGCUGUUUUCUCCUUAGCUGUUUUCCUUCUUUCUCUCUUCUUCCCCUUGAUUACAUUAGCCAACUUGAUUUUUCGAUCUUGUUGCCUCCUUUGUUUAAGAGCUGGUUUUGGAUGAUUUAUAGACCGUAUCGUUUCCUAUCUUUUGAACCCUCCGUCUCUUCUUCAGUUCUCAUGCCAUCCUUCUGUCUGCUUAGCUUAGCUGCGUUUGUAGUCCUUGCAUUGGAUGCUUAAUUGUUUUUUUCGCCUCUGCUCGUUAAUGGGAGUGAGACUGACUUUUCAUCGGAGCGCUGUUAGCGGUACCCCGCCGUGUCUGACAUGCAGCUAAAAGCCGAAGUCUCUAACUGUUGAACCGUAGUUUUGAUACAAAUAGCUGGGGGUGUGGUCAAGGGCCCUUUGACCCGCAGGCAAGGACAUGGCCAGGUGGGAGGAGCCGGGGUCCCGUCAGGGCACGAGUGCGUGAGAUUUCUGCGUUGGCAUGCACACCUGGUACGCGUCUCCUGGAACGGUGAAAGCACAGCCCUGGGGUCACUGCUCUGCCCACACCUUCCACGUGGUGACCUCUAACCUCCCAGCUGCCGGAACCCCCAGGGCCCCAAGAGUGAAAGCCGGGGCCCUCACGCGGCCUUCUUUCCGAAUCUGGGUGGGCGCCGUCUUGAGCGGCUCUCCCCAGAGUUGGUGGGGCCUUCCUCUUUCCUCUUUGGCUCAGUGGUUUCCUAGGCCAGUUAGAAAGUCUUGUUUCCUCGUGGGUGGUGCUCACACCUGCUCAGGGACUGGCUGAGGUCCUUCGGGCCCCGUGACUGUCCCACAGGCUCCUGCGAACGUCUGAUUAUAUUGGUUAAAACCUCUUGCUGAUGGCACCGUCCAGGUCUCUGUCCUCGCCUUCGAAGACAAGGCCACGAGAGACGCCUGCCCCUCGCCUGCAACCCUCAGCGCUUCUGCUGCUCUGGGCCCGCGCCGCGUGGCCCGGAGGUGCUGGCGGCCGCCCCAGCCGUGCCGAGGGUUGCCCCCUCUGCCAUUCUGUGCCUUUCUUGUGCCUGGCGUGCAGCUCGGGCCCUGUUCCGCUCGCCUCUCCCUCGUGGUUUUGAGGGUCCCGGGCCGUAACCACCUGCAGGUCCUCAGUGUCCCACAUGCACCCUGUAACCACCCUCCCACCGGGACGGGGGCUUCCUGUCACCCACGGAGGCCCCGUGUCCCCCGCCCCGGGGACCCCAUCCUCCCGCAGAGAUGCUGGGCUCCGACCCCCCCGUUUGCGGAUCUAGAACUUUCCGAAAAUGAAAUCUUGCCCGUCCGGCUCUUUUCUCACCCGGGAAAAGUUUCCACAUGGCUGGUGCACGUUGCCCUUCGUGGGCUGCGUGGUGCUGAGCCGCAGGCGGCCCGCCCCUGCUGAGGGUCCUGCACGGUGGGGCGGUGGCGCUGGGUCACCGCGAGCUCCAGGCCCGAGUGUCCCUGGACGUUUGCUUCCACAGGAAGCGAGAGGCCGGUCCUGGAGCCGUGCGCUCCCUUCCCCGAAACUGCGGACUUUCUCAGAAGGUGCAGCGGCUCACGUCCCGCCAGCCAGGCAGGAGCGUCCGGGUGCCCGGGGAUGCCCGUCGUCCUCCCACCCACCUCGGGGUGCCCGCAGCCGCCCGGCGCACCACCCUCCCUUAAUGGCUGGGGUCGGGCUGCUUCUCGUGCUGCUUCUGGGUCCUUCGCGUGUCUGGUUUUGCGGAGGGUCUGUUCCGCCGACGCAGUCGCCCCGGCCUUCAUUGGGCCCGUGCAGGGCACCCAGGCUUUCGGAGCCCGAGCACAGGGCGCUGCCGCGGCCGGAGGGGCUCGGGCUUCCGAGUCUGUGAUGGUCUCCCCUUGUAGAAUCGUGUACACUGACUUUUUCUGUGAUUUUUUUUUUCUUGAUUCAAUUAUCAGUUGGUUUAUCAAUUUCAUUGUUAUUAUUUUCUUUUUUUUUUUAAAAAAAAGAACUCUGGUAAGGUAGUGAACCCGCAGGCCUGCGAGGCCUGCAGAGCCCAAGGCACAGAGACUUCUGUCAGAGGGAGGGGCUGGUGCCCUGGGGGCGGCCGACAAGCCCACGCUUGGAGGGGACGCUGCAAGGCACCCACACGUGUCUCUGGCCGAUGGUGCUCACACCACUGGCCCUGUGUGGCCACUUGUGUCCCCGUGGGUGGCGGCUCCAGGCGGGGUGGCGGGAGGUGGGGAGAGGCCAGCCCCUGGCCUCCCCUCCUCACCGGCCAGUGGAGCCCAGCACCUCCUUCCUCUGCCCCCACAGGUGGACAUCACGCAGAGGCUGGUCCCCAGGUGCCCUGCAGCGGGGUCCUGCUGGGGUGGCACAGACCCAAAGCUGGGCUGGGGAGUGGGAGGCUUCCUCGGGGAAGGGGCUGGGUGCCCUCGGAGGCUGGGCCCUUGAGACCUUGACCUGCCCGCGGGGAAGAGGAAGAGUGGGUGGCUGACCGCGUCCUGGUGGGUCGGGUGGCGGGCAGCUCUCUGGGCUGGCGGCACAGGUUGUGGCUCAGUCUCUUUGUUGGGUAUGACAUGGCCGGGGUCAUCUGUCCCUCUGGCCUCUCAGCGUGUCUGAAGGUAUAGACAGAGGUGUCCUCCCUUGGACACGCGGCGCCCAGGAGCUCCGUGAACCUGGCUGCCAGGCCCGUUCUGGUCCUAACUCCUGGCCUUCGGGGCUCAGUGCCUCAGGGAAUGGGUGGCAUCUGCAGGGCACCCACCUCCUCUGCUUCUGGCUGAGCCCCAGGGGGGGGCGUGGGGGUGUCUUCUCAGGACCAGGCGGAGCUGGGCCAGAAGGAGACACGGAGUGCCUCCCUGGGGACACCUCUCCGCACCCGUCCCCUCCAGCGGCCCUGCCCCAGGACGCACAGUACAGGAAAGGAACCGGAACGGCCGCCCGUGCUGCUGACCCAGCCCUGCGUCCAUCUUUGAGGACGGAAGUGCUACGGCCAAGGUGCUGGCAUCUGCUCCCUGGGGGGAAGUGGACGGGGCCCAGGCUCAGAGAACUGAGGGAUUGGAGCCUCUCCUGGACAUCAGCCUUGUCCCCACGCCUUCAGGGUCACUGGAGGAGAGGGCCAGGCAGACAGGGACCAGCCCCUCGGCUCCCCUGGGCCGAGGUCCUGGCCUCAGCAUCUCAGCUCCAGGGCAGCACAUCUGUGUACCUGUCGGACACGUUCGAAUGAGUCACAUGCAGGUUACAGGUGGCCCAGCUCCCAGGUGAGGGGCCCACAGCCCCCCAGACACACGGGACCAGACGGGGGCCAUCAGCCUUGAGGAGGAGGAGCUCAAAACCCAGGCUGUACUGAGGGCUCCCACAAAACUAGGUCUGCGCGGCCACAGCUGCAGGCCACGGGCUGGGGGUGCAGUGGGCCAGGGUGACCCCCUGAAGCAGGGACGUCCCCUCCUCCAGCCCGUCCCUUCCUGGCCAGCUGCCUGCAGUCCGGGACCAGGGACCCCUGCCUUCAUCUUCUCCCGAGAACAAACCACAAGGCCGACCAGAGUGUGGAGCCCCGACUGCCUCCUGCAAAGGCCUCGGUACUCACUGGCCUGGCUGCGCCCCUGCCAGAGCUCGCAGCCCCCACCCCUGCUCUGUCCUCGUGCUGGUCUGCUCCCCACCCCCCACGUCACCUGCGCAGGCUGAAGGAGGGAGGGGGCCCGUCUCCAGGUCCCUGUUAUCAUCCAGUUAAACUUGAAUUUCAGAUAAAAAAUUAACUUUUAGUAUAAAUAUACCCCAUAAAGUACUUCCCUGACCAAGUGCUGUAUGACUCAUGUAGAUACUAAAAAUCCAAUAUUUGUUGUCUACCUAAAAUUCAAAAUUAAUGAGGAAUCUUAUAGUUUAUCUGGCAACCCUACCCAGAAGCUUCGACCCGAGACUUUUAUAUUCAGCCAAACUACCUUCUAACACGCCUGCAAGAACUCGGGCACCAUGGUCCCUGGGGCCCUUCCCGAAGACUCGAAGGGGGUUUCACACCCAGAGCGCGGGGACCGGCCUCCCCCAGGGCGCCCCUGGGCCCUAGGGCUGCAGGACACAGGGAAGCCUUCACGAGAUAAUAGAGAAAUCAUUGCAGUAACGAUAGUUGUGAAGGGACGGAGGAAAGAAGAUAGAAUGCAGGUUUUAAAAACUUAUUUAAAAUUGAUGUAUCAGGUGGUAAAAACAGAAGACGACAGCGCACAUGGACAGAACAGACCCCGCGACUGAAAGACCUUGCUCGGGGAAACCCGGCUGAGGGCAGGGCGGCCCGGAGCCAGGAAGUGGGGUUCAUCCCGCAGCAACUGCGGCCACACAGAAACCGCAGGAAACCACGAGGGACACACUCGCAAACCAGGGAAGCCGCGGGUCGUUGGAAAGAGAAAGGGAAACAGGAGUUCCCGUCGUGGCUCAGCAGAAACGAAUCUGACUAGCGUCCAAGAGGACGCAGGUUCCGUCCCGGGCCUUGCUCGGUGGGCUGAGGAUCCAGCGUCCUCUCGAGCUGUGGUGUGGGUCGCAGAUGUGGCUUGAAUCCCACGUGGCUGUGGCUGUGGCUGUGGUGUAGACCCGUGAAGACAGCUCGGGUUCGACUCCAUAUGCCGCAGGUGUGGCC